rnacentral:rRNA from 1 species
GUGGUGGCACAAAAUCGGAAGCCCCGACUGUUUACUAAAAACACAGCUAUCUGCAACGAUGUAAAUCAUAGUAUAGGUAGUGAGGUUUGCCCGAUGCCAUUAAUAUAAGAGAAGUGAUGGGUAACUGUUAAUUAUCGAAAAUCUGGUUAAUAGCGGUCUUAACUAUGAGGAUCCUAAGGUAGCAAAAUAAAUUGGCCAUUAAAUGUGGUCCGGUAUCAAUAAUUUAACGAUGGCUUCACUGUCUCUACAACUUGCUCAGUGAAAUUGAAUUACCCGUGCAGAUGCGGGUUGCCACCAGGGGGACGGGAAGACCCUAUGCAGGCUUCUACUGA